AUUGAACGCUGGCGGCGUGCUUAACACAUGCAAGUCGAUCGGUAACAGGUGUAGCAAUACAUGCUGACGAGAGGCGGACGGGUGAGUAAUGCUUGGGAAUCUGCCUAUUAGUGGGGGACAACCCGGGGAAACUCGGGCUAAUACCGCAUACGCUCUACGGAGGAAAGCCGGGGACCGCAAGGCCUGGCGCUAAUAGAUGAGCCCAAGCCGGAUUAGCUAGUUGGUAGGGUAACGGCCUACCAAGGCGACAAUCCGUAGCUGGUCUGAGAGGACGACCAGCCACACCGGAACUGAGACACGGUCCGGACUCCUACGGGAGGCAGCAGUGGGGAAUAUUGGACAAUGGGGGCAACCCUGAUCCAGCGACGCCGCGUGGGUGAAGAAGGCCUGCGGGUUGUAAAGCCCUUUCGGUGGGGAAGAAAAGUCUCGACCUAAUACGUCGGGACCUUGACGUAACCCACUAAAGAAGCACCGGCUAACUCUGUGCCAGCCGCCGCCGUAAU
rnacentral:rRNA from 1 species